GGGUUUUCAUUUUGAUUGCAGAUUCUACCAGUAGCUUCUCUUCCGCUGGCCCGCUGCCGAUGUUCCCAGUAGGCCACACCCCCAAACAGCAGCAGCACAAGUAUAGCUGAUGGAUGUUACCAUGCAUCGGCUAGCACAUAUAUGUCUAUUCUAACCUAUGAAGGCUUCAGGUGGUUCAGUAAUACUGAAAAAGGAUGAACUUCUCAGAUGCGUCGCGGCGGAGAGGGACCUGCCCGUGCUGGAGGCGCUCGAUCUGGAGAGGCCAGAUCUGCAGCGGCGGUGCUCGACGGUUGCAUCAGUGCUGGAUCUUCUUCCCGGCGGCUUGGAGAAGCAAGAUGAUUGCGGGGAGGAUGGCAGGACGGCUCCUACAGCACCAGAGUAGUGGGAGGACGCUGCCUGCGCCUGGGAGCACCGGGCCGCCGUCAACUUCAACUUCUCCGAGCAGCACGACGACGACUGCCACCACCGCUACCAAUGCAGAUCAUAUAGAAUGUGUACAAGGAGCUGGAGCCGAGCACCAAGAAGCUACACUUCUCACUAGCAUACCUGCCCCUGGCUUUCCCUGUCUACCUUUGGUACAGAAGCCUCGGAAAGAACGGUUCACACUUCAACCCAAGCAGCGAUCUGUUCACCCCCAAGGAGAGGCGUGAUGUGAUCUUGGCAUCUGAGUUAACUGGAGCAGAAGGAGGAUGACACCACAUCUCCCCUGGAUCAGUAUUGCGGGUCUGUGCGGUGGUGCAGUUGCCCACGCUCAGAUGGGACGGAAUCAGGUCCAGCUCUCGUGCUCACCUCAGAGCUGCUAUUCCUAGCAUCCAUUAACUCAAGUAGUACAUCUUAGAUCUGAUGGCAGUGUGCUGACAUUGGAGGAACAAGCAUCGUCGAAACAAGUGAGGAAGAUAAGAUGGAAGCCAGUUAGAUGAACCCUGUUAUAUGAACCUUGUUGUAUAUUUUAUCUAAUGGUUUCAAACCUUGUUGUGCAUGAUGUGGAGAUGAACCCUGUUGGUCAUGUAAGUUAGAUGCCUAGAUUGUGAACCCUUGAAUGUUUCAAAAUGUUGUUUUCAGACCAAGAUUGGUUGGAAAUAUUGGUUUUAAACAUUACUUGACUUCUUGAGUA